ensembl:lncRNA
UUUGGGGUAAAUGGACUGGAACUCAAACUGAAGAAUUGUAUCUCUUUUACUUUAUAAAUUUACAACAACUGCUGCAAUCACAGGACAGGAAGUGACAUCAAUGGAGCAGAACGACAAGGGCACAUUGGAAACUGAGAAACAGCAAAUGAAUGGUCAAACAGAAGAAGCACCUCAAGAGACGACCACACCUGAAGAGCCGGCUAAUGUAAGUGAGAAUAAUUCAGAUAAAAAUGAUCAAGAAAUGCAUGAGAGCAAUGCAGAAAAGAAUGAAGAAGAAAUAAGUGUGAAUAAUGGAGAUCAGAAUGAAGAGGAAAAUGUGAAGGAAGAAGAGGAAGAAGAGGAUGAAUUGGCUGAUGGUUUCCAGACUUCGGUCGAGAUGUCAAUCCGGCAAUUUGAGAAGGAUGAAAAUAACCGCCCUAUUUGCAGAUCUGUGGACGAUGUACAGAAUAAAUGAUGAUUUGAGAGCGAGAGGUCGCCUCGGAAGUGUGAGUCAUCCGUCAGUGUUUGUGUGCUGGGAGAGCGGCCCACUGUGGCCUGACUCUACGGCAGACAUUCAUGAAGCCCCCUCACACCAGGAUCGCUCUACAAUGACAGCUUUGUAAAGGAUGGAAGAGAGCUGCUGUGGAAAAUAUUCAAGACACAGAGAGAAAGAGAGAGACAAUGAGAGAAAAAGAGGAGCUAUCAAAGUGUUUCGUUCACAAAGUCUGCGAGUGUUCCAGCUCCACUGGAAACUUUCAGUCGUUCAGUUGAGUUUAAAGGGGGUGAGAGACAAAUAGAAAGCUUGCGUCUUGUGGUAAACAUGGGGUGGGGUCAGGAGGGAUCAUUUUUCUUUGUGCAUUCAGUGGGUGGGUGUGAUGGCUUACUGGAGGCCUGUUCCGCUGUCCAUUCUCUCUUCAGGUCAGCUCCAGAGACCAGUGACGUCACAGUGACUCACAACAGACAUGCCAUGACAGAACACACAGGAACUGAUGACUUUCUGAGUGAAAUAGCUUCUGAAAAACUAAUUUCUUUGGGGUGGCGUUGUUUCCUGUACAAAAACGCAAUAAUUAACAAUGGUAACAAAACCAAACCAGUUCCAAAAGACUCUAUGCCAUCUUGAACUUCACAUUCUUG